rnacentral:lncRNA from 10 species
GUAAUAGAGACAAAGUCUCACUCUGUCGCCCAGGCAGGGGUGCAGUGGUGCGAUCUCGGCUCACUGCCAAUUAGGUUGUAUUUCUAGAGGAUAUGAUGCUGGUGUCUUAGGAUAUAAGAGCUGAGAAACGAGGAAGUCUGAAAAAACUCUGUAACUAGCCAGCUGGACUUAGGGAUCUCUGAUAUUAGGAGACUGAAUAUGUGCAAAAAUUGAGAAUUCUAAGAGCUCCUUCAUCAUUAACUUUUGCAAACAGGUAAUUCAUUUUGCUUUAAAAAUACUAAUUUGGAACAAUGAAAUUAUAGUAUAUGCUACAUAUGUUAGGGUCAUUAGAAGACUAGUCAACCAGUUUUUGAGGAGACUGUCUUGAAUUAGUAGUAGGAAGGCUCCAUGAAAUUUCCUUAGAGCAGACAGGCAGAAGUAUGGAGCUGAAGAAAAUGUGGUAGAGAGAACUGGUCAGGAAUGGCAAAGAGAUGUUUCUUCUCAGUGUUCCAGAAGGCUCCUUUGUAGACAAAGGGUCAGAACAUGAUUUCCUACACAAACAUCAGUUCAAGCGUCCAGCAGACACAACAGCAAAGACCAGAUUUGGAGAGCCACAGGACAUGGGUAUAAGUGCAAUUAAGACUGUUAUUUAUGUUGCACUAGAUAACAAGGACUGUUAAAAAUGGUAGCUUUCUUGUGCCUGCUCUUUUCCCUCCCUGCACCAGUUCAGAGAGGAAUCCUGGCUUCUGGUCCACCGUACAAUCAUUAAGAGCAUUGGAAAAGAAUGAAAUAGCAAACCAAUAAUUAAUAAUGACCUAUGAUGUCUGGCAAGGAGCCGCUGAAAAGUACAGGCAUGGGAUAAGAAAACAGCCAUCACUGUUCACUUUUUCCCUUUUCCUUUUGAUACGACUUCUGCAAAAGAGGUGUGAAUGAAAUCAUAAAGCUGUUUGGCAUUUGCAGCAUUCCCCAGAAUACUCGUGAGCUCGUCUUGUGACAGGGCUGCUAAUUCUGCGAUGUUCUUAACGUGGUGCAUCAAGGAGCGGCAGUUUUUGGCAUUCACCCCUGGCAUUUUUAACAAGAAGUCUUGGGGACCAGGAUUAUACUUCUCUGACUCGGGAAGGGUUUCAGAAUCUGCUGUAAUGGCCAGUGCUGUCGCCGCAUCAGGCUGUGGCUUGCUUUGUUUCAGCUCCUCAAACAACUCCGCCGUUGCAUGAGGAGAGGGGCACCAGAGAAUCCGUAGUCUGGGGAAGUGAAGUGUAAGAAGAGUGAGUUUGGAACUAAUGUCAUUGCUGGAGAUCUCCUGAAACAAG